GCCUUCUUGUGAUCUGCUCCAAGCGGCGACAACAGCAACUCCGACGGCGUUUGAGAAGGGCAACUCAGAGGAGGACGAAGCUGGCCUUCAGCAUUUACUCCGCGAGAGCAGGGAAACUCAAAGGAGGACGGAGCUGGCCUUGAACAUCUUCUCUGGUGAAGCCUUACUGAAAUCCAACACUGAGGCUGUUGUGGACUUCCACGAACGUGGUUGCGAAUGCUGGCAUGAUCCCAGCAACUUCAAUCUUCAAUUCUGGCAGCAAGCUUCAUUUCAUCUCUCUGCUAUUCAACUUCACGUAGUUUGUGUUGGUGGAAUCAGUAGAUCAGAGGGUGAGGACAGUAAUUUUUGUGUAAUCUGUUGCUCUUCACUGAAGUGUUUAACUGCGGGAAGAACCAGCCAUUAUGUAUCAUUGUCCGGGAUCAGUUUAGUCAUCUGUAUUGCUGUCCACCGGCGUUGCUGGUUCCAUCUCCGGGCCCCCUUGUGACAAAGGAGGCUUGCACCAGUUGCAACUUUGGGAAUCUGAAGGCCAAUUCGAGCUUAAGGGAUGCGGCCAGAACAUUCAACUUUGGGCAAGUUUUAUCCAGGGAGGAAGCAUCUGCAAGCUUGCGACGUCAAGUAAAAGAGAAAGAAAACCAGAGGAAAAGGAGCUGUCCACUGCCUCAUUUUGUGGAUUGGGUGCACUGAUUUAGCUUAAAGUAUACAACGGUGGUGAUUCCCAGUGGGACCUCCAAAACAUUCUCUCAAUCAUCUCCCCCAUACUUGUUGAUUGCUUAUGUACGGAUUUCAUCUGAUUUUUCCAUUCUUGCAAGUAGGUCACUGGACAGCAGACAGAUCAAAAAAACAAAAAACAAAAAAAAAGCAAGAUCAUACCUUUUCCAUGUUGAUCCUAGGAAAUGGUUUCACAGAGAUGAUGAUAACAUUCUUAAAGAUGUAAUGUAUGCCCCUCUCCUUAGUGGCUCCAUCCAAGCCAGCAUAAUCUGUCUCUGCCAUGGGUGGGUGGGAGUAGAGAUGCCCCAGAAAGAGGCAGCUUGUGCCACUAUUAUCUCAUGAACAUGAGAACCAGGGCAUCUUCAGACUGCUGGUGGAACUCACCACUCAACAUAAAUGAGUACUUUGAGAAAAAUGCACCAGAAAGUAAGUGGUCCCUAAAGUCAUCCUAUUCCUUGCGAAAACAAUAGGUUCAGCUGGACGAUAAGCAUACACAUCCAAUUCCAUACUUCGUGAUCCCAUGAGCAUCAUGCUUUCUCCUUUUUCUGCCCCUUUAUCUUAUUGGAUUUCUUGAGUUUGGAUGAGCUGAUGGUAGGCAACAUCGCGAGAAGAUGUCACUGUUUUCGUGGUGUUGGAGCUAGAGGAUAUUUUUUGGGAAGGAAGAUGCACAGAGACAUGGUUGCAUUAGUUUACUGCCACAGGCUUGCACCAGUAGCACAUUCUGAUCUUCUUUUUGGCUGAGUUUCAUGUGGUAAAUAGUGCUCUUAUAAUGGUCCUUGGAAGAGCAAAGGUGAAUCUGCAGUGACAGAGUAGUGGAUUACAUUAUGUAUCAUUCUGAAUAAUUCCAUAGCAUUGCCUGAGGAUGAUUUAGUUUAGCUGUUGCAGUAUCCACUUUGCAUUGAUAAUCUUCUCUUGGGCAGAUACACAGAUGGAAGGACUGGGAAAAGGAUACGACAUCGGCUGAGUAUGCCUUCACGACUGGUAUAUAUAUGUUCACUAUUCUUUGUUUUUUUGUCCCAGAUUUGCAUCCUUGGAUCCUAGUUUGAGUGGUAAAAGUGCAGAACCAGUAUAUCGUGAUGCAAAAGGGAAAGCUAUUUCAAAGGAAGAGCUACUGAAACCAAAGGAGGAAGAGAAACCAAAGUUUACAAAUCUCAAGUACUCCAGAGUUGAAAUUGAUGAAGUGCGGUUUGAGUGGACUGAA